UGUACUAUUGUGUUUAAUUUGUUUUUCUUUUAUUUAUUUCUGCUUUUAUCUUUAAUGAUUUCUGCUUCUACUUCCUUUGGAUUGAUUUUGCUCUUCGCCUGCCGGCUUCUUAGGUUGGAAACUUUGUUCACCUAAUAUCAUCAGUCUUUCUUGUUUUGUUAUCAAUGCACCUGUGGGUAUGCAUUGUCCUAAGUACUGCUUUAGCCACACCGCCCAGGUUCUGACAUGUAGCUCUCUAAUUAGUGGUUAUUUCUGAAUAGUAUGUAAUUUGUUUUUUCAACUUCCUUUUGAAACCAAGACUCAUUUAGAAAGCUUUUGUAAAAUUUUUCACGUUAACCCAUUUUGGGUUAAAUUCUUCUUAAUUUAUAGUUCUAUUGCCUAGGGAUCCGAGGACACAGCUUGUCUGACUUUUUACUUUUCACUUUUCUGAAACUAAUCCACCUGUCUCUGAACCGUUCUCUGGUCCCUCUCAAAGACAUUUUGGUUCCUCUUUUCGCGGAUGCUCCGGUAAAAAUUUGAUAGCGGUGACCUGGUGAUACCUGUGGAGGGAGGGGAUUCCCCCAGAGUCUUUUUCCUCUUCUGGGGUCUUCUUCAGCUAUUCAGAUGCCUGCCCUUCUGUCCCCCACCCCACCACACGUGUUGAGAGAGGAAAGGAAAGGAAAGGAAGCCCCGCGCCAGAGUUUCUCACACCGGGUUCCAUGGAACACCAAUUCUGUGGGUAUUAAUAGAUGAUAUACAGAAAGGGGUCUGUUUGAGGACUGGUGGAUUAAACAAAGAGAAAGGGUUCCUAUGGCAUCUCAGAGCCUCUGUAUUUUCUGGUGGUUUAACUGACUUUAUAACAGGAGGGAAAAGCAUGGUUGUGUUUCCCAAGAUCAUCUGGAAUGGAACCCUUCUGUGGGGCACAGGGAUAAUGCUCCGGAACAGGUACCGUAGGCCACGCUGCCCAAGGCCCUAUUCUCAAAUAUACUCCUAUGAACUCUCUUGUCUUGAUCAAAUCUUAUUUAGACUAAUGGUUAGAGUCAGUCCUUCACUUCGACUUCUCAGCGUGUUCGUGUCCUGAUUCUGCAAUCCAGUGUUUCUGCUGCCCCUCUGGGAUUCUUACUGUCGGCAGAUCAGAGCAGCCUGUCCCCCUGUUCUCCUGUCAUGCACAGAUAAGUGCUUGGGAAGGACGAAGGACAGAGCCUUGACGUGUGCCUCUGGACUAGGGAGGAUGUACAUCCUUCAUCCAACGACUAGCAGAGGCUGUCUACACCUGCACUUCUUAGACUGCCUUAUGCAGGCCACAUGAGUUAACACCCCACCUAGGGACUGGAAACGUGAGGAGGGGCCUGCUGGAAAGGGCCUUGAAGGCCGUGCUAAGGAAUAUGGACUGUCUGCUGCAGGCAGAGAAGGGUGAGUGCUGGAGGGUGUUAUCAGGAGCAGCUGGGUAGGUAUUAAAAGGUUUUAAGCCACAUCAAAGUUAAUCCUAAUAGUUUUACCGAAAGGCACUCUGAAGAAAAUGUGGAGAAAUUGAGGCAGGGAGCCUUGUUGUGAGCUAUUGUCUAGGCAAGAGGUGAUGAUGCCCUGAGUUAGGAUAGUGGUUGAAGGAAUGAAGAGGAGGGGACAGAUUCAAAGACCCUUUCAAAGAUGGAGAAGACAAAAUGCAGUGACAGAAACUUCCAUUUUCCAUUCUUAGAUUCUAGGGUUAAAAUUGGAGUAGUUCUAAAGAAGAUCUAAGAUAACACUGCCUUCAAUCGGGUCCCCUGAAAGCAGAGCCUGAGGCAGGGAUCCAGGUGUCUGUGACUCACUGGAGGAGUGCUCCCAGAGGGAGGGGAAUGAGGGAAGCAUAAUGGCGCAGAGGAAGAGGCUAAGGAGGCUGUGGUUUCAUGUGGAAUCUGGCCUUACCGUGACCCCAAAGACAGCUCCGUAGCAGAUAGCCCCAAUGCGUUGGUCUCACCUUGAGGCAAGAGGGCCAGCCUUUUACACAAUAGGGUAAGAGGAACCACUCGGGUAAGGGAACCCUGGUUGGCCCAGAACAAGUCUCUGGAGAAGGGGACAGCUGAAAGUCACUAGCAACAAGCACGCAAUAGCGGGGAGAGGGUUGCCCCAGGCAGGUGUUAGGGGCUGAAUUGUAUUCCACCCCCAAAUUCAUAUGCUGAAGCACUAACCCGCAGGCCCUCAGGAAUGUGGCUAUAUUUAGACACAGGGCCUUUCCAGAGGUGAUUAAAUUAAAAUGAAGCCGAUUAGGGUGGACCCUAAUCCAGUCUGACCGGUGUCCAAGAGGGGAUUAGGACCCACAGAGAGACACCAGGGAUGUGCACGUGCACAGAGACAAGGCCACCAUCUGCAAACCAAGGGGAAAAGACCUCAGAAGAAACCAGUCCUGCUGACACCUUGAUGUUGGACGUCCCAGCCUCCAGAACGGUGAGAAAACACAUUUUCUGUCGGCGAAGCCACCGGGUCUUGGCUGCCCAAGCAACCUAAUCAGCAGCAGGUCAUUUAAAUCUGCCUUCCCCCUCCUCAUGAAGAGCAGCAGCGCCAAUUAGGAGAGGCAGUUCAUUUCCUGGCUGGAAUAUCAGCUGCCCGCCCCAGACAGGAGCCAGCCGGCUCUCCCAGCCUACGUGCCGCAGUUGGAACAUCUCGGCACUCGGAACAGUGCAGCCGGGCUACAGAUGGACGGUCCUUCCGUUCCAAUGAGCAAUGGCCUGUCGCUGCGUUUCAGUCCUUCACCCACCGUCAAUACCCGGUUCGGACGACGAAGGCCGAUUUGUGUGGUCCUGCCGGGUCUACAAAGGGCCAAGGAUUGUCCCCAACAUCUCCAUUGAAGAACGGACCAGAAAG